CCUUACCGCCUAACCAUUCUCCCAUUUGUAGUGUUUAAACUUUAAACUACUACUCCUACCGCAUCAAAGAAAACCGGGGCCUGUUGCGUAACUUUUGCGUGCGCGCAUCUUUGGCGUUCGGAACUUAUUUUCCCGCCAAAAUCAGAGAAGAGGAAAACGUUUCAACGGUGGAGCCACUGUGGCACCUCCUCCGCGGUAGAUUGCGAUGUACGGACAUCAAGAGAACACCAGGAACUCGAAGAAUCAGCGAUGGACGGUGACGGACGACCUCGCCAAUAUCCUUGCCCUGUAUUUCCCCCAAAUCGACAUCUCUCUGGAGGCUUCCAAGUUUAAACUCCAACUCGCCUCCGAACUCGUCCGAUUCUUCUCUGCUCCAAUCGGCCAGACCAUCGUCUCACAGGUAAAAAAUGAUGAUGGUUUAUGCUUCUUAUCGCUCGACUUCCAGCUGUUAAAAAGCAUUUGUCAGAUUAAAGAACUGUAUGGAGCAAUGGAGGAAAAUCCUAAAGAUGCCCUGUUGUGCUUGAGUGCUGCAGUGCACAAGGUUUUAAUGAUGAAAUGGGACAGCAAUAUGAUGGAGGAAUUUGUAAAGAUAAAUAUCCGUCUCCACAACUAUCCUGAAUCGUUGAUUGCAUUGAAGAACUUAAAAGCUGCUUAUAUUGACAGGCUUGUAUCUGUACAUGGUACUGUUGUAAAAGUUAGCACAGUCAGGCCUCUGGUUAGACAAAUGUGCUUUGUCUGUACAAAGUGUGGAACCAACAUCACUUGCAACUUUCCCGAUGGAAAAUUUUCACCUCCUUCAAUCUGUGUAAUCCAAGGUUGCAGAAGUAGGAGUUUUGAUCCUUUAAGAUGUACUGCUCGACCAAUAGACUUUCAGAAAAUAAGACUUCAGGAACUGCUGAAGAAUGAACAUCACGAAGAAGGAAGGGUGCCUAGGACUGUUGAAUGCGAGUUGACCGAAGACCUUGUAGAUGCAUGUAUCCCUGGGGACGUCGUGACGGUGACUGGUAUUAUCAGGAUGAUCAACAAUUACAUGGAUAUUGGGGGAGGAAAAUCAAAAGGCAAGAAUCAAGGACUAUAUUUUUUGUACCUAGAAGUUGUUUCGAUAAAAAAUUUGAAAUCUCAAUCAUUACCGGAGGAUUUGCAAGAUGCUAAAGUUGAUGCUAGAACAACACAGCUGUCUGAUUUAUUCUCAUUUUCUCCAAGAGAUUUGGAAUUUAUUGUGAAGUUUUCUGAGGAAUACGGUUCAGAUGUCUUUAGGCAAAUACUUCAAUCUAUUUGCCCGUCAAUCUAUGGGCAUGAACUUGUGAAAGCGGGAAUCACAUUAGCAUUGUUUGGAGGGGUGCAGAAGCAUUCGAUGGAUCAGAAUAAGGUGCCUGUCAGAGGUGACAUCCAUGUACUGAUUGUUGGUAUGCAGUUUCCAUUUCUCUCGCCCUCCCCCCCUCCCAUAUGUCUAACUGGUGAUCCUGGAAUGGGAAAAAGUCAACUACUCCAAGCAGCAGCUUCUAUUUCUCCACGUGGCAUAUAUGUAUGUGGUAAUGCGACAACUAAUGCAGGCCUAACUGUUGCUGUGGUGAAGGAUCAUAUGACAAGUGACUAUGCUUUUGAGGCUGGUGCAAUGGUACUUGCAGAUCGUGGAUUAUGCUGUAUUGAUGAGUUUGACAAAAUGUCAGCAGAACAUCAGGCUCUAUUGGAAGCUAUGGAACAACAGUGUGUCUCUGUUGCAAAGGCAGGACUUGUGGCAAGUUUAUCAGCCCGAACAUCUGUUUUAGCUGCCGCAAACCCUGCUGGGGGUCAUUAUAACCGCGCUAAAACUGUGAAUGAGAACUUGAAGAUGAAUGCUGCUCUCUUGUCAAGAUUUGAUCUAGUUUUUAUAUUACUUGACAAGCCUGAUGAACUACUGGACAAGCGCCUUUCAGAGCACAUUAUGUCACUUCAUACUGGAAAUGGACAAAAUUCACCAGCAGCUAAAAGGCUUUGCAGAGCAUCACAACGUAUCAAAUGCAUCAAUCUUACUUUAAGAAGCCAUUCUCUAGCUGCUAGGUUGAGGCUUGAUCCAAAGGACAGUGAUUUUGUUCCAUUGCCUGGUCCUCUUCUCCGUAAAUACAUUGCUUAUGCAAAGACAUAUAUCUUCCCUAGGAUGACAAGACCAGCUGCUGAAAUCCUGCAGAGGUUUUAUUUGCAAUUAAGAGACCAUAACACAUCUGCUGAUGGUACACCAAUAACAGCAAGGCAAUUAGAAAGUCUAGUAAGGCUGGCAGAAGCUCGAGCUAGGGUGGAUUUAAGAGAUGAAAUAACCGUUCAAGAUGCCAUGGUAUGUACAUUUUGUAGAAGGAUGUUGUGGAAAUAAUGAAAGAAUCUUUGUAUGAUAAGUAUGUUGACGAACAUGGCCUUGUGGAUUUUGGGCGAAGUGGUGGAAUGAGCCAACAGAAAGAAGCAAAACGGUUUUUAAGUGCCUUAAACAAGCAAUCAGAGUUACAGCAAAAGGAUUGCUUUACUAUAUCCGAAUUAUACAGCCUGGCAGACAGGAUUGCCUUAAGGGUUCCAGAUAUAGACACUUUUGUGGAAAAUCUAAACAGUGUUGGUUAUUUGCUAAAGAAGGGGCCUAAGACAUAUCAGGUGCUGUCAUCGUCUUAUUCACACAGUCAGUCAUCAAGAGCAAGGGGCUAAAUUGGACCUCAACAGUUAAGUUAUUUUCCCAUUUCUCUCCCCUAUUUUAGUUACACCAGAAUCUUUAAUUUUCUGGCUGAAGAGCAUCUUUUAAUGGUGUGUGUGAGUUUGACAUGUUUAUAGGCUCCCAUUAUCAUGAGCAUGAAAGUUAGAUGUAUCAGUUUAAGGCAUUUUGUUUGAAGGAAAUAUGUCAAGUAAUGAAGCUUCUCUUUCCCAGUUCUAUUUCCCCUUCAUAUGCAAAGUUCCAUAAAUGCUACCUUCUGCUCUCUUUUUAUCCUGCACUCUCUUUCAUAGUAUUUGUUAGUGCUGUAUUUCCUUCUAAUUAUCCAAUCAUUUGUACAGCAUUGACUCAUGAAACUGAGAUACUGGUACGUUAAUCUGAAUGCCUAGAAUACGCAAGCAUCACUUUGGAAGCAGCUUAAUUUUGGUACACGAGCCUGUUCUUCACAUGUUUAGAGACAGUGAUGUACAGUUAUAAUCUUCAAUGACAUAUCAUGUUUAGCUUUGCUUUCCUAUUUUACACAGCAAUUUAUUACUUUUUUCAAGCUUUUUUGCGGCUGAAGCUUUCAUGUCAAUGUUUUGGAUACUUGUAUCCUGCUUAGAUAUUCAGGUAGCCAAGUCCCAUGAAGAUAUAAUUGCAGAUUUGCAUUUACAAUCAUCAUGAAAAACCCUUGCUUGCUACAAUCACUAGUUACUGGUAGGGUUAGUCGAAUGGAAACAAUUUUCUA